AGCAGCCGCGGUAAUUCCAGCUCCAAUAGCGUAUAUUAAAGUUGUUGCAGUUAAAAAGCUCGUAGUUGAAUUUCGGGGUUAGUAAGUUGGUCAUGCCUUCGGUAUGUACUGGCUUUACUGAUUCCUCCUUCUUGACGAACCGUGAUUUCAUUAAUUUGGUGUUGCGGGAAAUCAGGACUGUUACUUUGAAAAAAUUAGAGUGUUUAAAGCAGGCUAACGCUUGAAUACAUUAGCAUGGAAUAAUGAAAUAGGACGUUAAUCCUAUUUUGUUGGUUUCUAGGAUCGACGUAAUGAUUAAUAGGGAUAGUUGGGGGCAUUAGUAUUCAAUUGUCAGAGGUGAAAUUCUUGGAUUUAUUGAAGACUAACUACUGCGAAAGCAUUUGUCAAGGAUGUUUUCAUUAAUCAAGAACGAAAGUUAGGGGAUCGAAGACGAUCAGAUACCGUCGUAGU
rnacentral:rRNA from 1 species